GGGGUUAUGGCUCAAUGGUAGAGCACGCGCCUAACAUGUGCGAGGUGCUGGGUUCGAUCCUUAGCACCA
rnacentral:tRNA from 1 species